rnacentral:sRNA from 1 species
GAGAGCCAAAUGAAUCGAAAGAUUCAUGUUUGGUUCGGGAAGAGAUUAU